rnacentral:rRNA from 1 species
AGAACGAACGCUGGCGGCAGGCCUAAUACAUGCAAGUCGAGCGGGCGUAGCAAUACGUCAGCGGCGGACGGGUGAGUAACACGUGGGAACAUGCCCUUCGGUACGGAACAACUCAGGGAAACUUGAGCUAAUACCGUAUGAUCCGGCAACGGCAAAGAUUUAUCGCCGGAGGAUUGGCCCGCGUCCGAUUAGCUAGUUGGUGAGGUAACGGCCCACCAAGGCACCGAUCGGUAGCUGGUUUGAGAGAACGACCAGCCACACUGGGACUGAGACACGGCCCAGACUCCUACGGGAGGCAGCAGUAGGGAAUCUUGGACAAUGGGGAAACCCUGAUCCAGCCAUGCCGCGUGAGUGAUGAAGGCCUUCGGGUUGUAAAACUCUUUCGACGGGGACGAUAAUGACGGUACCCGUAGAAGAAGCUCCGACUAACUUCGUGCCAGCAGCCGC